UUGUGCACUGCAGCAGCGUGCAGGAACACACACUCAUUUAUUCAGUUGUCAUUCGACAGAAUGCUUUGCUGUUUGAUAAAGACAUGUAUUCAUAUUUGUUUGCUUGAAAUGAGCACGACUGCUAAUUGUAUUUUAUCUCUGGAGCCCAACAUGGGGAAAAGCUCGAAACAGUGAUGCAAUCACAAUUGCUCAUGCAAAAACACUUGC